CACUUCCUUGUCUGGUUUGUGAGAACCCCAGGCCCCCGGGAGGCCAAGCGAGUCUGGCUGGGCUCCGGGUCCCCCAGGGCUCCUGGACGGCAGGCCUUCAGCUCCGCACCUCUGACGACGGGCCACCCCCGCAGCCCCCAUGUGAGAUGCCAGCCCGUGCUCAGCGUUUCCUGUCCUCCGCACGGGCGUGCUCCAUGCCCACCUCUUCGUGGCCACGUGCAUGCCACCUCCUCCAGGAAGCCCUUCCUACUCUACCCUUUCCCAAUUCUGGACGUGGCUCCUCCCUCACCUGGGUCCCACACAUAGUCCUCUGUCCCCCACAAGCCAGGAUCCGGGCUCUGCUAACGGUGGGCGGAGCCGGGCAGGAAAGGGGAGGCCGGCGCUCCCCCUGGAGACCCCUGAGCGGGCAGCCCCCGGGGUUGCCGUGGGGUCCCGGCCGCACCUCCAGGCCUAGGUCAGGAGUGCAGGGGGAGACGGGGUGUCCCAGCCCCAG